GAAUUUUCUAAGCGAUCAGUUUUUGUGGGACGGAGGGAGUAGCUUACUUUGGAGUAAAAGCACAGGAGUGACUAAUUACUUCGCCAGGAGUACUUAACUGUUGAUGAAUUAUUAAAUCAAAGAGAUGGUGUAUGCAUGCCAUGUAAGGACGAUGAUUGUUUAAUUUUCAGUCCUUGUCAUGCUACUUGUUUUUAAUGUUCUAAGAAAGGACCAAGAUGUAUCACUAAUUAGCAUCUCUCAAUUUACAAUUAGUGGUAACC
rnacentral:lncRNA from 1 species